UAAAAGGUUUUUUAUAACAAAGAAAACCAUCAACAGAAACAAAAAGAUAACGU
rfam:Ovis aries breed Texel chromosome 15, whole genome shotgun sequence.